CGCACAUUGCGCCCCUUGGUAUUCCAUUGGGCAUGCCUGUUCGAGCGUCAUUUACACCCUCAAGCCCCGCUUGGUGUUGGGCGUCUGUCCUUGCCACACGCAAAGACUCGCCUUAAAUUCAUUGGCAGCGGCAUUGUCGGCUUCUUGCGCAGCACAUUGCGCCUAGAAGGCUACCGGCAGUCUAGCUACCAUUAAGAAACUACCCAGUUUGACCUCGAAUCAGGUAGGGAUACCCGCUGAACUUAA
rnacentral:misc_RNA from 1 species